rnacentral:rRNA from 1 species
GCUCCCGGCCGNNANGGCGGCCGCGGGNNNUCGAUUAGAGUUUGAUCCUGGCUCAGGACGAACGCUGGCGGCGUGCUUAACACAUGCAAGUCGAACGCUGAAGCUUGGUGCUUGCACUGGGUGGAUGAGUGGCGAACGGGUGAGUAAUACGUGAGUAACCUGCCCUUGACUCUGGGAUAAGCCUGGGAAACUGGGUCUAAUACUGGAUACGACAUGUCACCGCAUGGUGGCGUGUGGAAAGGGUUUUACUGGUUUUGGAUGGGCUCACGGCCUAUCAGCUUGUUGGUGGGGUAAUGGCUCACCAAGGCGACGACGGGUAGCCGGCCUGAGAGGGUGACCGGCCACACUGGGACUGAGACACGGCCCAGACUCCUACGGGAGGCAGCAGUGGGGAAUAUUGCACAAUGGGCGAAAGCCUGAUGCAGCGACGCCGCGUGAGGGAUGACGGCCUUCGGGUUGUAAACCUCUUUCAGCACGGAAGAAGCGAAAGUGACGGUACGUGCAGAAGAAGCGCCGGCUAACUACGUGCCAGCAGCCGCGGUAAUACGUAGGGCGCAAGCGUUGUCCGGAAUUAUUGGGCGUAAAGAGCUCGUAGGCGGUUUGUCGCGUCUGCUGUGAAAGCCCGGGGCUUAACCCCGGGUGUGCAGUGGGUACGGGCAGACUUGAGUGCAGUAGGGGAGACUGGAAUUCCUGGUGUAGCGGUGAAAUGCGCAGAUAUCAGGAGGAACACCGAUGGCGAAGGCAGGUCUCUGGGCUGUUACUGACGCUGAGGAGCGAAAGCAUGGGGAGCGAACAGGAUUAGAUACNCUGGUAGUCCAUGCCGUANACGUUGGGCACUAGGUGUGGGGAACAUUCCACGUUUUCCGCGCCGUAGCUAACGCAUUAAGUGCCCCGCCUGGGGAGUACGGCCGCAAGGCUAANACUCAAAGGAAUUGACGGGGGCCCGCACAAGCGGCGGAGCAUGCGGAUUAAUUCGAUGCAACGCGAANAACCUUACCAAGGCUUGACAUA